ACAUUAUUUGAGUAUCCUGAAAACGGGCUUUUCAGAAUAGUGUUGUGAUUUAUUAAAUUAAGGAGUGCAUAGUGGCCCGUAUAGCAGGCAUUAACAUUCCUGAU
rnacentral:sRNA from 1 species